UGAGGAAUAUUGGUCAAUGGUCGGGAGACUGAACCAGCCAAGCCGCGUGAGGGAUGAAGGUACAGAGUAUCGUAAACCUCUUUUGUCAGGGAACAAAAGGCGCCACGUGUGGCGCUCCGAGUGUACCUGAAGAAAAGCAUCGGCUAACUCCGUGCCAGCAGCCGCGGUAAUACGGAGGAUGCGAGCGUUAUCCGGAUUUAUUGGGUUUAAAGGGUGCGUAGGCGGCGAGUUAAGUCAGCGGUAAAAGCCCGGGCUCAACCCGCCGCCGUCGAAACUGGCUUGCUUGAGUUGGAGAGAAGUAGGCGGAAUGCGCGGUGUAGCGGUGAAAUGCUUAGAUAUCGCGCAGAACUCCGAUUGCGAAGGCAGCGUACCGGCGCCCAACUGACGCUGAAGCACGAAGGCGUGGGUAUCGAACAGGAUUAGAUACC
rnacentral:rRNA from 1 species